AACGGUCUAUACCUGCGGUACCUGCGGAAGGAUCAUUACCGAGUUAGGGUCCUGAGUGGCCCAACCUCCAACCCCUUGUGUACCGUUCAGAAGCCAAACCCUUCUGUUCUUGCGAGUGUUGCUUCGGCGGGUCCAAGUUGCCCGCCGGAGCCCAAUCAAAAAACCUACUUUGAACCGUGCCGUCUGAGUCUUAGAUGUAAAAUCGUUAAAACUUUCAACAAUGGAUCUCUAGAUCGGAAG
rnacentral:misc_RNA from 1 species